GAUGAACGCUGGCGGCGUGCCUAAUACAUGCAAGUCGAGCGAACAGACGAGGAGCUUGCUCCUCUGACGUUAGCGGCGGACGGGUGAGUAACACGUGGAUAACCUACCUAUAAGACUGGGAUAACUUCGGGAAACCGGAGCUAAUACCGGAUAACAUGAUGAACCGCAUGGUUCAACAGUGAAAGACGGUCUUGCUGUCACUUAUAGAUGGAUCCGCGCCGCAUUAGCUAGUUGGUAAGGUAACGGCUUACCAAGGCAACGAUGCGUAGCCGACCAGAGAGGGUGACAGGCCACACUGGAACAGAGACACGGUCCAGACUCCUACGGGAGGCAGCAGUAGGGAAUCUUCCGCAAUGGGCGAAAGCCUGACGCAGCAACGCCGCGUGGGUGAAGAAGGUCUUCGGAUCGUAAAGCUCUGUUAUUAGGGAAGAACAAAUGCGUAAGUAACUAUGCACGUCUUGACGGUACCUAAUCAGAAAGCCACGGCUAACUACGUG
rnacentral:rRNA from 1 species